rnacentral:lncRNA from 1 species
GGGAAAGGUCGGUCCGGCGUGGCGUGGCACGGCUCGGCAAAGUUCGGCUUGACACGGCACGGCUCAGCACAGUUUGUAACGGUUCAGCAUGGCUAGGUACGGUUCAGCACAGCUCAGCAAGGUUCGGCUCGGCGUGGCGCAGCUCAGCACAGCUCUGCAAGGCAGAAUUACUUGAAAAAGAAGGAUGUGUAUUAUUCCUACCAAAUUUGGCACCAGCCCCA